rnacentral:sRNA from 1 species
UUUUAGCCCCGAUAAAAGCGGCAUCCUUUUAUGUCCGCCGCGGCGGACGUAAAAGAUAUAGCGGUUAGCGGGAAAUAGC